GGCUGGCCUAUGAGUGGAGACGGCGCCGGAGGGGCGGGACGGGGGCACGCGUGCGCGCUGGCGGCGCAGGCAGGUUCCCGCCCGCAGGCUCCGUGUCGGCGCUGCGGCGUGGGGACCCGGUCGGGGACCGGGUGCGGGAGCCGGGAGUGAAGCCCGGCGGACCGGCAGAGCCCGAGGGGGCGACAGGCGGGAGGGAGACCGAGGCUGCGGCGCGGGCGGGGCUACGCAGCCCGGCGUCCAGGGCGUGCCCCCAUUGCGCCGAGGGGGCAACUGAGGCGAACGCAGGCCUCAAGGUCGCGCCGCCCGCCAAGGUCGCCCGCGUCCCACCAGGCCUGCGACCCGCGACCCCGCGACCUCGCGACCUCGCGCGCGGCUGGGGGCGCUGGGUGGUCUCGGGCAUCGCCCCCUUCUCCAGCGCACGGGAGGCACCGCCGCCCCCGUCUUAGAGGUUACGAAAUGCUUCCAAAAUGCCCUACUUUCUGAAAAUAUCUUGCACAGUCCUCUUGAAUUUUCUCCAGGAGGAGGACGUUGACACGAGAGCCUGGCAGGCUCGUACCUGCAGAGUCGCGGCGCGCUCUCUUGCCCACUUUCGACUUGGGGAGCAGGAGUGGGAGCCGCCCCCCCACCCCCGGGCUCAGACGCCGGCGGUGAACCCGCUCCCCUGCAGAGUCUGUAAGUGGGGGUCGUCAGGUCCUCGUCGGCCACUCAGUUGCAGCGUUCCCGGUGUCAUGUCGUAUGUCAAAGCCGGUGUCUCCAGCUGCACGGCCGGGAAGCCGUAGGAUGCGCCCCGUGGCGGGCGUCCGGCGUUGUCACUGCAGCUGCAUCCGGAGCCCACGUGUGCUGGGCUUACAGACCCUACUUCCCAGCCCUGGCCGCCCCACGGCCCCCGGCUGUCACCGGUGGAAAGUGAGGCUCCUCCCUGUGAGUAGCUGCUCAGAGUCACCGGCCUAGAGCGCUCGAGCACAAGCAGGAGGAGCGGCAGAGGCAGAGGGAGAAGCAGACUCCCUGCUGAGCAGGGAGCCCGUUGCCGGGCUCGAUCCCAGGACCCUGGGAUCAUGACCUGAGCCGAAGGCCGGUGCUUCACCGACUGAGUCACCCAGGCGCCUCACAGUUAAGGAUGUUCAGAGGAAGAGGAUAGUGAGAAUACAUACGGCAUGUCCCCCCUGUCCGUGAGCGCAGGGGUGCGGGCAAGGUUGCAUCCCCCGCCGGGCACACAGGGGUGGCCGAAGGCCAGUCUCGCCCGCGCUGAUCUCAGUCAGCUCUAUUUCUUUGGAGAACUCUAAUGCAAACCCCCAGAAAAGCAAGAUCAUGGGGCCCAUCAUGCAGAGACAACAGUCGAUAGAACCAGACCCAGAGACGGCCUGCAGUAGAAGACGGAGUCUUUAAUCCUGGGAAGUUUGUCAUGGGACGGAUCACUCAAUCAACGGUGUUGGAACGAUUGACUGUCUCUUUAAAAGCAAACUUAAACCUCAUUAGGCCCAAUUUAAUAAUCUUAUUGUUUGAAUAGUCCCUAUUUUGCUGGGGGUUUUCCUCCUUUUCCUGUCUGAUUACUGAAAGAAGUUUGUUCAGGUGUCUUGUUAUGACCAUCAGUUUGUUUCUUUCUCUUUUUAGAUCUGCGACUUUAGUUCUACACAUGUUGAGGCCAUGUUCUCAGGGCCAGGCAAAGUGUAAAUGAAGGUCGAGUGUCCGCUGGUCCGCAUUUCAGCUGCUCACUUGUCAGUUUCUUACACUUCCGUUAGGUUCUCUUCCAAACAUGCAUCGACAGUUGUUAUAACGCCUGCUUCCUGUAGGUAUUUUUCAAGCUCGAUCUCAUUCUUGAAACAGUAGUUACCUUACCCUAUGUGUCUGCUGAGUGUAACGUUUGAAGCUUGUUUCUGUUUUCUACAAUUUGUUAGUUCUUGUGUGCCUGGUUAUCUUUGAAUCAGUGCUGAAAUUGUACAUUAUUUUAUUUUUUAAAAAGAUUUAUUGAUUUA